UCAGUAACCGCUGCCACCACUCAGCAGCCACUAACAUCGAGGAAAGUCCUUGCACCAGCAAAAAGACUGCAACUUGCCGAAAGCUCAGAUGAUGGAGACACUGGCAAGCUGUAAUAAGGCAGAGGGAGAGUGCAGAGAUGGUACCUACCUGCCCGUGUUCCCUGAAAACAGCUCUGCAGAUCCCAGAUACAUCAUGGUCCUUGCUCAGCCAGACAUUAGGAUUUUUCCAGAGAAAAUGUUCCAGGUAUAGCUGAAGUCUCCGUGUGUUUGUGGGAGGAGGUACUUUCUGAACACCUGACAACUCCACUGAGGGGUGACAAGCUAAGAAGAACCCUAAUUCCCACUUCCUAUGAGAUGGAAAAUGGGAUAGAAUGAACUACCCCCACCACUGAUAAGCAAUUUCUGGACAGUAAUCAAUUCAGGAAAACUUUCUAGGUCAUCAUUUCUUCCCCAUUCAAAACCAAAGCCACUUUACUGAGUCCCUGGACAUUUAAAAAUGCAUAUUUUUAUAACCCAGAUUAUUCCCUUCACUACAGAUUAUAUUUGUCUUGUUUUUUUUAGGCCUAACUACUUGUUCUAUGUUGGGAAGACUAGAAAGAACAAUCUAGCUCCACACUCAGAAGGCACAAUAGGCAUUAACAUGUCAACAGUUAUGCAAAGUUCUCUAAUAAAGAACUGUUGGAUUUUGUUAGUUUAGGGCAUUCUUCCUUGAUCCUAGAAUACCUUUAAUGGCAGCAUAUUCAGAUCAUGAGCUGGGAAAGAUUAAACUAAAAUGAUCAGUUUCUAGGCAUGUACCAACAAAAAGUAGCUUUUUAAAUUUUCACCCUAAAAUGAGACUGCAAGCUAUUUUGCACAUCUAGGUCACUAUUACCAAGCCCAAGGGCUCAUUCAUUACUGUUCUGGAGGAACACGCUUUCUCUUUAGCAACUUUGUAAUAAAACAAAAUUUUAUGGUGGGUAAAAGCAGCACCUUGGAAAGACCAUGACCAAUAAACAGAUUUACCUCCAGCUUCUAACUGAACUCCUGGAGUCAAGUGAAGAAAUUCUGGUUUCAUGCUUACUCGGGAGCCAGAAAUAAAACCAACCACAAAUUCAGAAUGUUCCUCAGCCAUUUCAACCUAAAGGAAUAUAAUAUAGAUUACAAGAAAGUAGUUAAUUACAGUGACAGUUCUACAAAUAAAAAUUUGAUUCUA